rnacentral:rRNA from 1 species
UACGGAGGGUGCAAGCGUUGCUCGGAAUUAUUGGGCGUAAAGGGUAGGUAGGUGGUCUCAUUUGUCUGGGGUGAAAGCCUUGAGCUUAACUCAAGAAGUGCCCCGGAAACGGUGAGACUGGAGUCUUGGAGAGGGUCGUGGAAUUCCCGGUGUAGCGGUGAAAUGCGUAGAGAUCGGGAGGAACACCAGAGGCGAAGGCGGCGACCUGGACAAGUACUGACACUCAACUACGAAAGCGUGGGGAGCAAACAGG